rnacentral:misc_RNA from 1 species
AGAGUUGGCCUGGCAUAUUCGUCAGCCAGUGUCCUAAAGAUUGCUUCCACAAUUGCAAUUCGAUAUUCGCUGUUACGUCAGCAAUUUGGUCCCCCAAAGCAGCCUGAAGUUAGUAUUUUGGAUUACCAAUCUCAACAACACAAGCUAAUGCCAAUGCUGGCAUCAACAUACGCCUUCCAAUUUGCUACUGUGCAACUAGUAGACAAGUAUGCACAGAUGAAG